ensembl:lncRNA novel transcript
UAUUUGUUGAGGUCCAUCCAGGAGUCUGUCACAAAUAUCUACUUUUGCAUAAGUGAUUUUACUUUCCUUUAUCUUCACAGACAAGACUUGUGUCCAUGAAGAUCCAUCCAGGGAUGCUUAUCCCUAACAUGAGACUUCUGCCUUCCCCCAGCUUAUAGAUCUGUUCCUGACUGCUUCAGUCUCCAAGGCCAGCUGCCUCAAGAAAUAAUAUCCAUUUCCCUGUGGACCUCAUAAGUCAUACUCAGGGAAGAGAACCUCCCAGAGAACCACCCAAGGGGAACAGGCAGCAUGGGAAUUUCUAUAAGAUGCAGUCAGCGGUGGCUUUGGAGUGCCUUCAGAAUGACACUGCUAAAACUGACUGAUGCUCUGAAGAUGUUGGAACUUACAAGGAAACAGCAAGGCAGGUCUUGGUUUAUUUCUGCCCACAAUGAUCUUGGCCCUGUGUCUGAUGGGGCUUAGCCAUGUGACCCAAGAACCCAGCUUUGUGUUUUGGAGCAGGCAUUCAAUAAGAACUUGCUGGUGCAAGGUUUUUCUUGGGAUGACCUUCCAAAGGGCCAGGCGCCUGUGUGGAUUAUGGCUCAAAGGAGUCUGUGGGCAGCGGAAGAGAUGCUGCCUCCUGGCUUGGGCACUCCAGGGCAUGGUGGGCCUGUGUGAGUCCCAUUCACGGCCCUGGUCUCCUGAGCCUCUUUUAACAGCUGUCCCACCCACCAACCACCAGCAGCCCCCUCAGGAGUACACACCUUGGCUGAAGAAUGCUAACACAGCUGGCUGGAGGCCACGGGGCACCACUGGAAACGUUUCCUCCAAGUGCAUUUGGGGGCUCACUCAGUGCCUGGGCAACAGACUGACCCCAGUGGGGUCGCUGGAAGGGAAGGCAAGAGGCAGCCUCUUCUGGGGCCAGGAAGGAAAAUUAGGACAAUUUAUUAUUUCCCUGUUGCACUGAGUAAAUAGACUUCAAGAUAAAUUAUUGGUGCCUGCAGCCUCCUUGAUGCAAAACCCUUAAGUGAAAGCAGACUUUAAUGAACAUAUGCUAGCUUGCCCUCCCCUUCUCACUUCAAGUCUGCUAUUAACUUCCUACGCACUUGGGAACCUUUGGCUCUUGGCCUAUAUAAUAGAAGAAUAAUUAGAAUAAUUACUGGAGAAGGCUGGGUCAAAUUUCCAAGGAUCUUCUCUUAACUACUUGGUUAUCCUUAUUUUAUUUGCUUUUAAGAAAUUCAUAAAACUGACCAAACAUUGUUACUUUGCACCUAGAGGAUUUAUUUAUAUAAAAUAAAAUCAUUGCUUUGUAUCAUGACUCUAUCAUUGAAAAUAAUCACAGUAAUUAGUGACUGCUGUGCUAAUCAAGUGUAGAUGAAGUUUUCAUGCCAAUUUUUAUAUUUUGUGUUUCUAAGUCAGGCUUCCAUGGGAUUACCUGGAAGAUGGAACUCAGAUUAAUCCAACUCAUCUGAGUAGCUCGUGAGGACGUAGGAAUUUUGGCCACUUUCUCUGUUCUUCACUUAGUUGUUUUUAAAGGAGAGAAGCAAGAAAAAACUCAAAUCCAGAUGGAGGCUCCCUCACUGAGCCCAUGUUCCAUGGCAAGGGCCACAGGUGGGGAUACAGGUAUGAGGUAUGGGAGUGAUAUGGUUUGGCUGUGUCCUCACCCAAAUCUCAUCUUGAAUUCCCACGUGUUGUGGCAGGGACCUAGUGGGAGAUGACUGAAUCAUG